AAAUUAUUGUCAACAAACCCACGUGGAGCACAAAUGAUUUACAAUGAUUGACUGGAAGUGACAGGCCUUCUCUUCAAAAUAAACAAGAUGUGUCCCUGCUGCGGAGGCAGCUAACAGAAAGGGGAUAUAAUUAAGAUUGCAUUGUGGAAUUGCCCUGUGCCACCUCUAAAUGGCAGAAGAAAACUCAACUCAGCACAACCAGAAACACUUUUCUGAAGAAAAUGCUGCCAAGAGACAGUUGUGAAGGGAAUCAUGUAGAUAAUCUCCAGAAAAGAAAUUACCACUGAUAUUGGGAUGUAUGUACCAAUAUUUUAAUACAAUCAUCAAAGACAAAUUUACCACAGGAAUAAAAAUAAAACUGUCUGGCAUUCAAGGGCCUGCCAUGGUAGAAGCUCUCCUGAAAAAAUAUUCCAUUUAUUUUGGACAUCAUGACACAGGGCUCACCUGUCACCAGCAUUAAAUACUUGUGUGAUU